AUGCUCUUCUUUCCCGUGCCGCUUGCAAAGGCGCUGUCUGUGCGUGCGUGUGUGUCCCCGCGUGUGCGUGUCCCGGCGUGUUUGUCCCCGCGUGUCCCCGCGUGUGCGCCGUGCCCGCACGCCGGCGCAGCAUGUGUGGCCCUGCAACGUGCGGGGUGUGCGGCGUGUGCGGGGAGCGCGGCGGCCCCGGCCCCACGUGCGGGGCGGGGGGAGCGGACACCCCCCACACCACCACCCCCUCUCAGAGCCGGGCUGGCGGGUUUCUCUCCGGUAUUCCCGGCGGGAACCGCAGGCGGGAAGUGUCAGCUGAGGCGAUCCAUAGCGAUGUGUUUAUCUCCGCUGCCAGCGCUGACCGCUCGCUUUUCAUUUGGUUCAGUUUUGCUCCCUCCCUUCCUCGGGCUCCGGCUCCUGGAGGUGCGUGACCUCCAAACCCGGGCUCCCACAGAAUCCAGCGGCUUGGGGAGGCGGGGAAUUACCCCAAUAAACACCAAACACGCCCCCGCCUGCCAAAACAGAGACGGGAACCUCACAUCAUUCCUGUCUAACGAUGGUGCUGUACAGCACAUUACCUGGGUAAGCUUGGACUACAGAGCAGCUCCCUCGGGAAGGGGGACCACAGACUGCAGGGGAAACUUGCUCAUCAAGGACAUAUUGGUUGCCCCAAGUCAGUCAUCCAUGCUGGACAUCUAAGGUAGAGCUGCAGGCUCUCUUGUUAGUCAGUGGAGAGAAACAAGCAGCUUCAGCAUAAAAUUCCUCUCCUCCUCACUGGACUGGUCCUUGAAAAAGCAUCAAGAAAACAGCCUGAGUAAAAGAAGGAGCUUAAACCUAAAACAAAGCAUAGGGAGACCUUUUGGGGGAGUGCUGACUCAAAGGGAGCUUGAACUCUGAAAGAAAAGACAGUUCCCUGCAGGUGAUUCCUCCCAUGGGCAGGAAAGCAGGGCUUUGCAUGGUUUCUGUAACUAACAGACAGGGUGGGGAGCAGGCGGGGUGAGCUUUUCUGGAGCAACCUCCUUGUGGAACACCUGGAGCAUUUCUGGAGCAUUUGUUUGCCAGCUUCAUCCUCUCUGGAACAACCUGCAGAUCUUCAAAUUAUGGACAGAAUGUCCGGGGUGAGACUCAGCUUCUAGGAGAAGUCCUAAUUCUGAGAUUCCUCUGGAACCAAGUGGGAACGGAAAUUGAAAAUUACCAAAGAUGCAAAACAUGAGCUGAGACAGCUGGAGGCUUUGUAAUAGUUCAAGCAACAUCUGGAAACUUCUAAGAGUUUUAUAAGAGGUCACCUGCAGACAAGGAUAAAAGACUUCAGUGUCCAGAGAGAGUGCAAAAUUCUUCUGGAAGAUUCCCAGUUUAAAGACGCAGGAUGGAUCAAAGAGGUGAUCAGCAGUGUGAGUAUCAUGCAAAAUAAUGUUUUCCAGAAAAUAAGAGGCACAACAAAAGCUUUGGCCAAUUUUUAAGCCAAGAUGAACCACAGUGAAGAGUUAAGAAAUUGAGACAAUCAGUCAGAAAAGGAAAUAAAAGGCUUGCAGGUCACUGCAGGAAAAAAACAGCCUCCUGCUGCAGAAAAGAGCUGGCCAGUACACCGCCUACCACCAACAUCCACCAGCAUUUCCAGUCUCCAGGAGGAAGGAAUCAGACUAUUUGUCCCAGCUGAAUCAGUGCAAAAGCCAUGGUGUUUGAGGAAAAUACAUCUGGGAGAUUUGUUCGGCUCUGUCCAUAACCACAGCAUGAGGGAAUGGCUCUGAAAUGGGAGGCCUCAGAGCCAAUUUGAUGGGGUCAGCUCUUUUAUCAGUGAGCACUUGCCUUCAGGAAAAGAGAUUAUAUUAUCUAGUCUGGCUGUAUGACUAGAAUCAACCAUCAAAUUAGAGAGAGCUGAUCAGCUGUGUGCCACAAAGU
ensembl:lncRNA